AAUCCAUAGGUUAAUGAGGCGAACCGGGGGAACUGAAACAUCUAAGUACCCCGAGGAAAAGAAAUCAACCGAGAUUCCCCCAGUAGCGGCGAGCGAACGGGGAGGAGCCCAGAGCCUGAAUCAGCAUGUGUGUUAGUGGAAGCGUCUGGAAAGGCGCGCGAUACAGGGUGACAGCCCCGUACACAAAAGCGCAUGUGCUGUGAGCUCGAUGAGUAGGGCGGGACACGUGGUAUCCUGUCUGAAUAUGGGGGGACCAUCCUCCAAGGCUAAAUACUCCUGACUGACCGAUAGUGAACCAGUACCGUGAGGGAAAGGCGAAAAGAACCCCGGCGAGGGGAGUGAAAAAGAACCUGAAACCGUGUACGUACAAGCAGUGGGAGCACCCUUUGGGUGUGACUGCGUACCUUUUGUAUAAUGGGUCAGCGACUUAUAUUCUGUAGCAAGGUUAACCGAAUAGGGGAGCCGGAGGGAAACCGAGUCUUAACCGGGCGUUAAGUUGCAGGGUAUAGACCCGAAACCCGGUGAUCUAGCCAUGGGCAGGUUGAAGGUUGGGUAACACUAACUGGAGGACCGAACCGACUAAUGUUGAAAAAUUAGCGGAUGACCUGUGGCUGGGGGUGAAAGGCCAAUCAAACCGGGAGAUAGCUGGUUCUCCCCGAAAGCUAUUUAGGUAGCGCCUCGUGAAUUCAUCUCCGGGGGUAGAGCACUGUUUCGGCUAGGGGGCCAUCCCGGCUUACCAACCCGAUGCAAACUGCGAAUACCGGAGAAUGUUAUCACGGGAGACACACGGCGGGUGCUAACGUCCGUCGUGAAGAGGGAAACAACCCAGACCGCCAGCUAAGGUCCCAAAGUCAUGGUUAAGUGGGAAACGAUGUGGGAAGGCCCAGACAGCCAGGAUGUUGGCUUAGAAGCAGCCAUCAUUUAAAGAAAGCGUAAUAGCUCACUGGUCGAGUCGGCCUGCGCGGAAGAUGUAACGGGGCUAAACCAUGCACCGAAGCUGCGGCAGCGACACUGUGUGUUGUUGGGUAGGGGAGCGUUCUGUAAGCCU
rnacentral:rRNA from 1 species